rnacentral:rRNA from 1 species
UACGUAGGGGGCAAGCGUUGUCCGGAAUCAUUGGGCGUAAAGAGCGUGUAGGCGGCCAGAAAAGUCCGCUGUGAAAACUCGAGGCUCAACUUCGAGCUGUCGGUGGAAACUUUCUGGCUAGAGUCCGGAAGAGGAGAAUGGAAUUCCUGGUGUAGCGGUGAAAUGCGUAGAGAUCUGGAGGAACACCGAUGGCGAAGGCAGCCUUCUGGGCCAACACUGACGCUCAUGCACGAAAGCGUGGGGAGCAAACAGG